GCCAGGGAGAGUUCCAGCACUCAACAAUCUAAAAACUGUGGAAAAUCUGUCUGAUUUGAGGAGGAAAAGGGUCUUAGUGCGGAAUUUACAAUCGAGCUAGGAGCUGCUGGCAGUCAAAACGGGGCAGCUUUGCAAUCCAAAGGGAUGUUUAAGGAACACAAUGACCGGAAGACUGGCAGCCUUAACCCUUAACCCCCUACAAGCAUGCCAUAUGGCAACAGUGGCAAGGAGAAACUUCCAUAUUCCAGGAAGAAGAAGUCUGCAUAUUCUUCACAUC